AGGUUAAUGAAUAACCUCUAAAGGAAGUUACUUCACAUAAUGACAGCAAUUUCUCUGAACUAAAUGUUAAUUAAUAAGGCCUGUAAUACUAUGAGAAGGAAAUGGUGGCAAUUGGCAAAUGGAACUCUGUUGCUUGGUAACAAAACCUGAGAAAUAAUCAAAACCCUCUGCACUCACUCAGAAGUGUCCAUAAGUCCUGUUCAAGUAAUCUUAAAAGAGACUGUUCCAAUAUUCGAUCUGCCUCGUUCAACAAGGAAAAUUUCUGCCCUGAUUUUAGGCAAAAAGGUGAGGAAGCAGAGAAUUAUUUUUGAAUGGCUACUGCUUAAAGAGUUGCCUGCGUGAGGUUUGGUGGCAAGAAGCAGAAGUCAGAGCCUGUGGUUCCUGUUGCUCUUCGGCGGUAUGAAAGAGAGAAGAAGGCGUGCUUCAUUAUAUGAAGCUUUGCUCCUAAGGUACAACUCUUGUAGACCUCCCGGACUCACCCAAUUUCCUCAUAGGCUUUUGCAUUAUCUUAAAAGAUGUUUCCCUUAGUAAUAUGGAGGAGACAAAAUCAAUAAUGUGCAAUACAUUUAAUCAACACGAAAACCUGAUUCUAUCAGGAGAACAGAUUAAAGGAGUCUUGCUUAGACUCCAGGGUAAUUGACAGUUUUUCUGCCUUAUAUGUGGAAUGAUUAUAACAAGUUGUAAUUCAGAUAAUGAACUUCUUAAUGCAGGAAGUUCUUCAUUCAGGAAAUAGAAGUUGGUGAAAUUGAAACAAAUUUAUUAAGUAAAUAAAGGGAAAAGCACAAAAUACUUAGUGGCUAGAGUAUUAUCAAUUGUAAAGAAGAUUUGGAAUAGAACAGUUAGGGAGCUAUAAUUCUUCAGUUUUUAUACUGUUCUACCACUCUAGUAUGUUGCUAUAAUUCUCUGAAUUAAUUUUUUUAAAAAUACAACAGCUGUCUGGAGAAACCAAUUUGAUCUCACUUUUAUUUUAUUUUUUAAAUGCAUUUGAUUAUGUAUAUUUGAGGUUUACAACAUAGUGUUAUGGGAUACAUAUAGUAGUAAAAUGGUUACUAUAGUGAAGCAGACUAACAUAUCUAUCAUCUCACAUAGUUACUUUUUUGUGACAAGAACAGCUAAAAUCUACUUAUUUAAUAAAAAUCUCCAAUACAGUAUAAUUUUACUAACUUUAUUACUCAUGUUGUACAUUGGCUCUCUAAACUGCUUUGUGCUGCUAUUUUGAUCGCUUGACCUACAUUGCCCCCAUUUCCUUUCCCUCCCACCCUGCUCCACAUCCCCACCCCCAUCCCACCCAUGGUAACCACUGUUUUGUUCUCUGUAUCUGUGUAUUUGAGCUCUUUUUAAAUAUGUAUAUAUUCUACAUAAAGGUGAGAUUAUAUAAUAUUUUUCUUUCUGUGUCUGGUUUCUUUCACUUAGCAUAAUGUCCUCCAGGUCAUAUUGUGGUAAAUGGCAGAAUCUCCUUUUUAAGGUUGAAU
rnacentral:lncRNA from 10 species